AUGGCUGUCAAACUUGGGCAUGAUCCUCGGAGAGAUGAAGUUUAUAUCGAAACACAUACAUGGAAGGAAGGGGAAAGGAAAGGGAGUUAUGUGCUGCAGGCAGAAACAACAAUUAAUGAACUCAUAGAGAAUGCUGAAAAGCACCCUGAAUGGAAGGAAAAGAGCAUUCAAGAAGGUGAUCUGUUUGCACACGUAUGUGGAAUGAAGGAGCCCAGGGGUCGUGUUCGUGUGUUAGGUCUAGGUCCAACACCUCAAGAUUUGGGCACACCGGGUACAUGGGGUAAAUUGAGCACAAGAGUUCUAGUUGAAAUGCAAGGGCGUCGAGAAGCUGAAAAUCGCUAUAACAUGCUCCAGGGGCAUGUGCAACAAAUGGAAGAAAGAAUGAACCGAAUGGAAUUGAUGUUAGCUUCACAAGGAAGGCAUAAUCUGGAAACUCCUAGCUCAUAG
rnacentral:rRNA from 1 species